GGAAAUACCAAAAAUACCCUUCAGUGGCAAGUUACCAUGCAAUUCAAUCCUUUAAUCAAACUGCAUCCCAAAUAUGUAUAUGAGUAUGAAUAUAUGUCAAACUCAAUUUCAUAUUCAUAUUUUUCUCAAUCUUUUAAUGAUAAUUCAAAUAAUGAAAUAUUAGAAACUCUUUCUAAUUUUCAUUCUGCUUUGAUCAAAGGCUUUCUGAUUUAUCAUAUGAUUAGAAUAAAUAGGAUGCUAUCUUCUCUUACUAGAAGUGAUUAAUUCCUUGUUGACCUACUCAUAAUCUUCGUACACAAUUCACCAUAUCCAGAAGACCUCGUACAUAACUUAUUGUCAUGAAUGAGUGUAAACCAAAAUAUGGGUUCAUGUGCACAAGAUACCAUGGUGAUCUCAGGUCAUAGGAUCAGUUGCACAACUCCCACUAAGAGAAUCAUCUUUUGACAUGUAAGUAAGACUUCAUAAGAUUUCUCUUUGUAGGUCAAUUCAGUGAACUCAUACCUCUAAUG
rnacentral:lncRNA from 1 species